rnacentral:rRNA from 1 species
UACGUAGGGGGCAAGCGUUGUCCGGAAUCAUUGGGCGUAAAGAGCGUGUAGGCGGCCUGGUAAGUCCGCUGUGAAAGUCCAGGGCUCAACCCUGGAAUGCCGGUGGAAACUGUCAGGCUCGAGUCCGGAAGAGGCGAGUGGAAUUCCUGGUGUAGCGGUGAAAUGCGCAGAUAUCAGGAGGAACACCAAUGGCGAAGGCAGCUCGCUGGGACGGUACUGACACUGAGGCGCGAAAGCGUGGGGAGCGAACAGG